GGUUAAGUGACUAAGCGUACACGGUGGAUGCCUAGGCAGUCAGAGGCGAUGAAGGGCGUGCUAAUCUGCGAAAAGCGUCGGUAAGGUGAUAUGAACCGUUACAACCGGCGAUACCCGAAUGGGGAAACCCAGUGUGUUUCGACACACUAUCAUGUCAUGAAUACAUAGUGGCAUGAGGCGAACCGGGGGAACUGAAACAUCUAAGUACCCCGAGGAAAAGAAAUCAACCGAGAUUCCCCCAGUAGCGGCGAGCGAACGGGGAGGAGCCCAGAACCUGAAUCGGCUUGUGUGUUAGUGGAAGCGUCUGGAAAGUCGCGCAGCAAAGGGUGAUAGCCCCGUACACUAAAAUGCACAGGUCGUGAGUUCGAUGAGUAGGGCGGGACACGUGACAUCCUGUCUGAAUAUGGGGGGACCAUCCUCCAAGGCUAAAUACUCCUGACUGACCGAUAGUGAACCAGUACCGUGAGGGAAAGGCGAAAAGAACCCCGGCGAGGGGAGUGAAAUAGAACCUGAAACCGUGUACGUACAAGCAGUGGGAGCACCUUCGUGGUGUGACUGCGUACCUUUUGUAUAAUGGGUCAGCGACUUAUAUUUUGUAGCAAGGUUAACCGUAUAGGGGAGCCGUAGGGAAACCGAGUCUUAACUGGGCGAAUAGUUGCAAGGUAUAGACCCGAAACCCGGUGAUCUAGCCAUGGGCAGGUUGAAGGUUGGGUAACACUAACUGGAGGACCGAACCGACUAAUGUUGAAAAAUUAGCGGAUGACUUGUGGCUGGGGGUGAAAGGCCAAUCAAACCGGGAGAUAGCUGGUUCUCCCCGAAAGCUAUUUAGGUAGCGCCUCGUGAACUCAUCUUCGGGGGUAGAGCACUGUUUCGGCUAGGGGGCCAUCCCGGCUUACCAAACCGAUGCAAACUCCGAAUACCGAAGAAUGUUAUCACGGGAGACACACGGCGGGUGCUAACGUCCGUCGUGAAGAGGGAAACAACCCAGACCGCCAGCUAAGGUCCCAAAGUCAUGGUUAAGUGGGAAACGAUGUGGGAAGGCAUAGACAGCCAGGAUGUUGGCUUAGAAGCAGCCAUCAUUUAAAGAAAGCGUAAUAGCUCACUGGUCGAGUCGGCCUGCGCGGAAGAUGUAACGGGGCUAAACCAUGCACCGAAGCUGCGGCAGCGACGCUUAGGCGUUGUUGGGUAGGGGAGCGUUCUGUAAGCCGUUGAAGGUGGCCUGUGAGGGUUGCUGGAGGUAUCAGAAGUGCGAAUGCUGACAUAAGUAACGAUAAAGCGGGUGAAAAGCCCGCUCGCCGGAAGACCAAGGGUUCCUGUCCAACGUUAAUCGGGGCAGGGUGAGUCGACCCCUAAGGCGAGGCUGAAAAGCGUAGUCGAUGGGAAACAGGUUAAUAUUCCUGUACUUGGUGUUACUGCGAAGGGGGGACGGAGAAGGCUAGGCUAGCCGGGCGACGGUUGUCCCGGUUUAAGCGUGUAGGGGGUGUGACCUGGUAAAUCCGGUU
rnacentral:rRNA from 1 species